CCUGAAAUAUUUCAGUUAGUGUGCAAUGAAUCUAAAAUAUAUGAAUGUUAAAUUUUCAUCAUGACAUUAUGGAAAAUAAUGAACUUUAUAACAAUAUGCUAAUUUUUUGAGAAGGACCUUGUACAUCUCCUGCUCCUUCAUCAUCCUCAUUGCCAUCAAGACUUCUGGUUACGCCAUCAUUGCCUCACAUUCCUUUUUAUGUGUUUCGUGAGGGGUUUGAGGGGUUCAGGUUCCUGCUCAAGAGGGGUUCAACGAGGGUGUCCAGGUGGACCCGCCUCGUGUUCCUGCUCCUGAGUUCUCCGACGAGGAUGUAGACAUACUUUCAUCUACGUCUCCAGAGCCUCUCCAUGGUUUGGCGCUGUUCUCCAGAACUCCUUCAAGAGUUCUCCUGGCAUCCACGUCGCUCUCCAGAUCUCUGUCGAGGGUUCCAGCAGUUCCACCAGCAUUCUCCAGUGUCCAUAAUCAGGACUACCGCCCGGGUGUUGUUCCUUUAACCUCAGUGAAGUGUCUUAGUAAUUAAAAUAAAAGUACCUACUAUGAGGUGUUAAACAGUCUUUGACCAGCAGAAGGAUUAGUGCGCCUAUAAGGUCCUGAGUAAGGAAGGCCUUUGCGGACCAGUACGCUGGUGUGGACUCCGCAUAACUCUGACAGUAACUAGCUGUGAAACGUGCAUUAAUAAAGCUGCAUCAACAGAGACUAGAACAGACGAGCGUCUCCUCCACCUGAUCUACUGCCUUCAACACUGUUCAAAAAAAGGACUGAGACGAGAUAAAAGGGCCAAUGAGGAGAGAGAAGACAGCAUGAGCAACAGAAAGGCACUGCCUAACAGACGACACCUGAGAAUAGGACAGAUGACACAUGUGAAGUUACUCAUUCAUGAAAACAACAGAUAAUACUCUAUUUACCAAUUAGGAGACUUUUGAAGAAGGUUGGAUGGACUUGACUUUAUUUAGAUACCAGAUUAAGGGGCUUUAAAUAGAAAGGUAUGCCAGACUGAAAGCUGUGUAUCAUUUCCCUCCACUUCUCAAUCAUCCACUAGCUUCUGUAGGUCUUUCACACCCAAUUCAUUGACGUUUGUGGCUGCAAGUUGACAAAAUGGGAUUUAGGCAGCAACAUACAGCACCUUGCCAAAAUAUCCAAACCCCUUGAACUUUUUCAAGCAUUAUAUUGACUGUGCUUACAAACUAGUUUACAUGAAUUAGGCCAGUAAUGGAUUAGAAUUUUAUGUAGGUCAGAUCUGCUCUGCGUCAGGGUGAAUUCAGACCUUUCAGACUAGUUCUUGCAUUUCUAGUUAAGAUUAUGCUUGUUAACACACUUCUUAUUAAAUGUACAAAUUUUCCUUUAAAAGUAUUCAGUCCGUUUUAAUUUCUCUCACUUACGCCAAGUCUCCAUGUCUCUGCAGAUGGAAAACACUCCACAUCAUGACUCCCUCACCAGUGUGUUUGUGCCUUUGAGGGGAUCUUGAGUAGGGAGAAAUGUUUUGGUAAACUAUGCCAUACAGCAGUGGUCUAAUGGUGUCCAUGAGGGUUUAAUGUUUUAGAUUCAAGUAAUGCAAAAAGAAUUUCCUCUGGACUUAUUGACACAUGUAAGAUGUUGCAUAAAGUCUUCGGCAAACAGUCACAAUUUUCAUACUUUUUUUGCUAGAAUUUGUUACCUAAGAGGCUUCUUAACUUUGGAGAUAUACAUAUGUUUAAUGAGACAGGCAGGGUCUUCAAAACUGACUGAACCUACAAAUUUAUGAAUUCACACGAGGAAAGGAAAAGGACUGUUACAGUCUCUUGCAAUAAUAUUCGUAACCCAUGAACUUCUUGCAUUUUGUCACAUUUUCAACCCAACUUUUGAGUGCAUUUCAUUAGGAUUUUAUGACAGAGCAACAGGAAGUAGUGCUUAAUUGUGAAAGGGGAGGAAAAUGUUAUUUUUUUUUUAUUCUUGAGAAUGUGGUCUGUGUAUGUGAUUACUCUUUUUCUGUCGAAAGUCUUUCAAGUCUUAUCACAGAUUCUUAAUUAUGUUGAGGUCUGCACUUUGACUGGACCAUUCUAACACAUGAAUAUGCUUUGUUCUAAACCAUAUUAUAUUGUAAUUCUGGCUCUAUGUUUAGGGUGGUUGUUCUGCUGGAAGGUGAACCUUUAACAGUCUUAAAAUCAGUCUACAAGGUACUAGGCUUACUAUUCCACACACUAAUUUACUAAUCUCCAAAUAAAAAUCAGAACAAUGUGACAUGCAUUUGUAUUUUGCACCCUUUACUCUAAUACCCCUAAAUAAAAUCAAGUGCAACCGCAGGCCACUUUCUAAGCAACCUGGGGUUCCUUAACACCUCAGUAGUUCCACAGGCUGAUCACCUCCAUGCCACUCUGCAUUCAUGCAGCAAUUCAUGCAUAAGGUGUCCUGACUAAGUACUGAGUCCAUAUACUGUACUUUACAAUAAUAUGUGCACAUACUUCUCAGGCUAAAUUUAUCUUAAAUUCCUUUUUUAAUAAAUAAUAUAGAAAUGUCUUUUUUGUCCCACAGUGGGGAGGAGCAUCAGCAGCAAAGUAACAGACAAUGGAAGCAUGCAGAUACACACAAGAAAUAUAUAUAAAAAAAACUAAACAUAGGAAUAAGAGACUGUAAAGUAAGGGAAAAUAAAAAUUAAAUACACUAUACACUUAUUAGAAAUAGCAUACUAUGAUUAAAUGAAAUGUGCAACUGAGUAGGGCAAUUUUGAAAAUGUACAAAAUGUGCAUGGCUUUAUGAAAUAUUGUAAUUUUCUGAAAAACAGGUUUGAUUUUUCAUUAGCUGUAAUCCAUAAUCAUUAAAAUGAACAUAAAUAACAACUUGAAAUAUUGCCCUGUGUGUGACGAUUCUCUAAACAUUUUUAACUGAAUUACUGAAAUAAAUUCAAUUUUUGAUGAUAUUCUAAUUUAUUGAGAUGCAUAUAUACUGAACACUGAUAUUUAAAAUGCAAUAAUUUAAAAAAGUUACACUUCAAACAACAACAAAACAUGCUUUUACCACCAACGUGAUAUUUACACAACUUGGCUGCGGAACUACUGGUAGCCGAAAGCGGUUUACCCUCGGACUCUUUUAUAGUAACUCCAAAACGGCUGAAACCAAGAUGGCGGCGUCCAUAUUUGUUUUGAGGAGUUCAUAAAUCCCAGUUUACUCACAGCCGCCAUCUAGCUUAGGUUUGGCAAACAUUACAUUAAGAAGCAAAGCAAACAAAUUAUGCGCUUCUUGUGUUUGGACAGGACCGUUAGCAUUUUGCUAAUAAUUGUGAUGCUAAUUCACGGUCUUUGUAAUUUGCACUUGUGUUGAUUUUAACCAUAAUGUUUGGCAGUGAUAGAGAACUAGAAAAGGAAGGGUCAGUGUUAGGCAGGGAGACAGCAGCAGAAGCUGGUCCAGAUCAGGGCACCUCCAGUCCCUCUUCCAUCAGGUCAGAAAUCAUUUAGGUAGAGCAACAACAUUUAACCCUGGAAAGUAUGAAUAUCUUGUGAAAUGCCACGUAAAGUCACUAAAGUCCUACACCUCAUGGUGAUUAGAUUUACCACAGCUUUAAUGUAAUGGUUUUAACUUUUAUUGCUUCGCAUACCACCACAUCUACAGCAUAAACAAUAUGGUCUUAUAGACCAGUGUUUCUUAACCGGGGUCCUGAGGGCCCAUUGCUGUUCCUGUUUUCGAGGUCCACCACACCUGAUUCAGAUGGUUGCAUUAUUUCCUCGGCAUGCCACCCAGAAGCCUGUUAAUCACCCGUUUAUUGCAGUUGGGUGUGUGAGAGCAGGGAAGCACCUGGUCCCGAGGAUCAGCAUGGUUUCAGCUGAAUCCAUGAUCCAUGUUUUUGCCACAAUCUGGAACAGUACUUUCUCUGAUACAGACAACCAGAGUGAAGUUGUUGACUUAACCCCCCACCUCUCCAUGCUGCUGAGCCACCAGUCACCCAUCGGUGCUGAUCCUGCAGGACCUGAUGGUCAGCAGCUAUCUUGGAAACCAAUAUCUGCUUGCGUCAGUAUUCUGACAGUAGGCUAGUGUUAAAUAAUUAUAAAUUUGCUGCUUUCCAGAUUAUUCUGCUCCAAUAGGACCUGAUGACAUUUCCCAGACAAGAACAGGAGGUCCUGUGCAGCCUGUCCUUAAGGUUCUCUUCAAGAUUCAACAUGGCAAGCGCAAGAAGGCAUUGUAAUGAGUCGUGGUACAGAGAAGACACAUGGUUGGACUACUCCAUCAGUAGAGACUGUAUUUUGUUAUGCCUGCUGCCAGUUCACCCUUCCAGAUGCCCCGUCCUCUGCAUUCAGAACAGAAACUGGCGUCUCCAGCUGGAAGAAAGCUUUGUGUAAAGACGAUGGUUUUGAAGAUCCAUCCAAAGACCAUUAAAGAGAGAGAAAGUAGAACAUUAUGGUGAACCAGUCAUACAUGAAAACUAAUGCAGAAGUUCUGCUUUUAACUGCCACAUAGAAUAUUUACCAGAGGAGUAACGGGGGGGUCUGAGGACUCAGAUAAACGAGGCAACCUGUUGGUUAUUUCAGAAGGGAUAGCUAAGCAUGAUUCUUUUCUAGAGAAGCACAUAAAAGCUCAUGGUAAGCUUUACCAGCAAAACCAUUCAAAUUAAACAUUGGAAUGCAUGGCAGCAAUGUUUUAAGAGGAAAUAAUAAUAAGGGAAGCAGGGCUCGCUGCUUAAAAUGCUUUGGAAAAACAUGGGCUAGAAUAUCACACCCACCUGGUCAGUGGUAGGAUGGCGCUGCCACCAUGAGUGGCAAGCACUCAGAGUCUGUACAAGGAUACAGGAAGUUGCCAAAUACACGUGCGUUGUAAUGCUCAUUGUUUGAACCUUAUUGUUGAUAGUGUGAAGUCAGGCUCUGAGGCUGAUUGCCUUUUCUCACGUCUUUCAAAAACUAGAUUCUUAGUCUGGAUCAUACGUGCACACAAACUGGCAUGACAUUCAGAGAGAAAUGCAUGAUGGUCAGCCUCAUGAAUUUCCUGAGCUAAGUGACACCAGAUGGGAUUGCAGGUACAUAGCCUGUCACCACCUGCCUGAUAGCUUGCUCUCUAUCCAGUGCUCGUUUCAGUUACUGAUGGACUCCAAAGCCCAGCUGCGCAAUCAUGUAGGGAAAAGUAGCCGCUGUGAUACCAGUGAGCAAUGUUUCCUGUGAGCGCAGCUUAGCCCCAAGUGUGAAUAAAAAUCAUCUACAAUGACGGAUGAACGUUGAAUUGGAAAUGAAUCAAUUUAUGAGUAACAAAGGAAAGAAUAAUACUGUUCUAGAAAAGCAAAAUGUACAGCAGUCACCUACAUGGAACAAUGUAAAUGUUUGUUAGAUAUUUGGAACGGACAGUGUUUGUGAAAAAAUAAAAAGCUUUUAAAAAAUAAAAUGCUGAAUUUUCUCCCA